UAUGUAGAACAACGAAGAAAGAAGAUUAAGGCUCUGUGUUUAGCUAUCGGUGAAAGCGGAGAGAUAUUCAUUUCUGCCCCUAUUUGAUCAUGGCUUUUAGAUACCGCCUGUUUCUUAUAUUCGUGACGGUGGAGAUCGUUGUGCUUAUUGUCCGAAGCACAGCAUCAGAUUUUCGGUCAGGUUCAUCAGGGAUAGCCGGAUAGAACUAUCUGAGAUGAAAUCAUCUCGGACGGGUUUUGUUCAAGGAUAUUAAACUUUUGAGGUCAAGUCCGAUAUGCAACGCAUGUCCAUGCUGCCCAUGCAAAUGCUGAUCAUUACCAUGUCGUCGUUGUUCUCUUCGUAACCGCAUUGAUCAAAUUCAAUUGUUUUGAUGUUUUGUAUUUCCUCAUCAGGUUCUAUUUUGUAAUAUACCAAUUCAGAAGCACAUACAUGUAGUACAAUUCAACACAUCAAUCAAUGGCUUACCAUCAGCUGAUAACAACCAAAACCGUACCCUUUUUUUUCUCUUUUUUUUAAAAUUUUUUUAGGCUCUUCAAGUUAUCCCUUCUUUCUAUAAAGUUAAGGCCAAAAGCUCAAACCUUGUGCUUUCACGUCAUCAUCAAAUUGUGAACCGUUGGAUGAAUGUAUUAGAUUGCUUCUCAGACGUUGGAUGGAAUGCAGUAUAGAGCCCAACCCAUCAGUCACCGAGUGAGUCUCUUCGCCUCCUCAAUGUCAAAUAUAGCCCACAUGAACACAUCGGCCUAUCUCCACACACAUCUACAUGUAUCCAGUCCGUCAAUCCGUAUAAAAGAGUUUUAUGGCUGAA